UGUACUGGUGUUUUUUCUCCACGGUGUUACAUGUGUCAGUGGAAGGGGACCCUAUCCCAACUCCAGUGGCAGCACCUGAAGGCAAAGGCUUAUGAGUCCAAGAGACAUCAUAUCGAAAUGGUGAUACGGGAGAAGCAGUGGGAGUAUAGUCUCAUCUUCAUUUUAUCAAAGGAGAAAUAAAGGCUCUCUCAGCUUUCGGCACUGACCAAAUUGACCCUGCUGACUUGGAUUAUCACAGUGAACCAGUCUCCCUACGGUUCUCCCGUGAACUGGAUGGAGCAGGAAGGGAAAUCUUCUCAAAGAUUUGCUGUGGGCAAUCUCAGGAAUCAAAUACUUACCAGGCUGGGGGCAGGACUUUCUUGGAUACCUGAAGGUAAUAAAAAAGACUGCACUCAAUGAAAUGCAUCCUUAGAAUACAUUCUCCAGCUGUGUUCUAGCAGCUGUUUUUUGUAACCCUCAUUGUUCCCCUUCUGAUU